rnacentral:tRNA from 1 species
GGGCCGGGAGCUGGUGCUCAGGGAUGGCCAGUCACCCAUCCCUCGGGGGUUCGAUUCCCCUCCGGUCCA